rnacentral:lncRNA from 1 species
AAGCCCAAAAUCACAUCUAUGCCUGAGGUUCUCAUAACCAUGGGACUAACCGGGAAAUCUACCCCCUUAAAGAAAGACUUGCUGAGGGGCAACAAUAUGAAACUGGUAUAGUCCCUCCCGGUGAGUUUACUAGCAUAUGGGUUUUCAUGGCAACUAGUGGAAUGCUAUGAACUCUAACAAAUUCUUGUGAUAUGAAUGUAUGCGAAGCUCCAGAAUCAAAUAAAACUGUAGC